rnacentral:rRNA from 1 species
AACGAACGCUGGCGGCAGGCUUAACACAUGCAAGUCGAGCGCCCCGCAAAGGGAGCGGCAGACGGGUGAGUAACGCGUGGGAACGUACCUUUUGGUUCGGAACAACUCCGGGAAACUGGAGCUAAUACCGGAUAAGCCCUAACGGGGAAAGAUUUAUCGCCGAAAGAUCGGCCCGCGUCUGAUUAGCUAGUUGGUGAGGUAACGGCUCACCAAGGCGACGAUCAGUAGCUGGUCUGAGAGGAUGAUCAGCCACACUGGGACUGAGACACGGCCCAGACUCCUGGGGGGGGAAGAGGGGGGGAAAUUGGGACAAGGGGGGCAAGCCUGACCCCCCCAUGCCGGGGGGGUGAUGAAGGCUUUGGGGUUGUAAAGCUUUUUUGUCCGGGAAGAUAAUGCCUGCACCGGAAAAAAAACCCCCGGCUAACUUC